rnacentral:rRNA from 1 species
CACGUAGGGUGCGAGCGUUGUCCGGAAUUACUGGGCGUAAAGGGCUCGUAGGCGGCCAACUAAGUCGGAUGUGAAAUCCCCAGGCUCAACCUGGGAACUGCAUCCGAUACUGGAUGGCUUGAAUUCGGGAGAGGGAUGCAGAAUUCCAGGUGUAGCGGUGAAAUGCGUAGAUAUCUGGAGGAAUACCGGUGGCGAAGGCGGCAUCCUGGACCGGCAUUGACGCUGAUGAGCGAAAGCUAGGGGAGCAAACGGG